AUACGUAGGGGGCGAGCGUUGUCCGGAAUGAUUGGGCGUAAAGGGCGCGUAGGCGGCCCGGUAAGUCUGGAGUGAAAGUCCUGUUUUUAAGAUGGGAAUUGCUUUGGAUACUGUCGGGCUUGAGUGCAGGAGAGGUAAGUGGAAUUCCCAGUGUAGCGGUGAAAUGCGUAGAGAUUGGGAGGAACACCAGUGGCGAAGGCGACUUACUGGACUGUAACUGACGCUGAGGCGCGAAAGUGUGGGGAGCAAACAGGAUUAGAUACCCUGGUAGUCCACACUGUAAACGAUGAAUGCUAGGUGUAGGGGCCGUAAGAGCUUCUGUGCCGCAGUUAACACAAUAAGCAUUCCACCUGGGGAGUACGGCCGCAAGGUUGAAACUCAAAUGAAUUGGCGGGG
rnacentral:rRNA from 1 species